UUGUCCGGAUUUAUUGGGCGUAAAGCGAGCGCAGACGGUUACUUAAGCAGGAUGUGAAAUCCCCGGGCUCAACCUGGGAACUGCGUUCUGAACUGGGUGACUAGAGUGUGUCAGAGGGAGGUAGAAUUCCACGUGUAGCAGUGAAAUGCGUAGAGAUGUGGAGGAAUACCGAUGGCGAAGGCAGCCUCCUGGGAUAACACUGACGUUCAUGCUCGAAAGCGUGGGUAGCAAACAGGAUUAGAUACCCUGGUAGUCCACGCCCUAAACGAUGUCAAUUAGCUGUUGGGCAACUUGAUUGCUUAGUAGCGUAGCUAACGCGUGAAAUUGACCGCCUGGGGAGUACGGUCGCAAGAUUAAAACUCAAAGGAAUUGACGGGGACCCGCACAAGCGGUGGAUGAUGUGGAUUAAUUCGAUGCAACGCGAAGAACCUUACCUGGUCUUGACAUGUACGGAAUCCUCCAGAGACGGAGGAGUGCCUUCGGGAGCCGUAACACAGGUGCUGCAUGGCUGUCGUCAGCUCGUGUCGUGA
rnacentral:rRNA from 1 species